CAAACAAACAAAAAUAUAUGCCGUUAUUAUAUAAAUAUGUAUUUUGAUAACUAAAAUAGUUUUUUGUGUGUUUACUUUGCUUCAAGCGUCGUGUAUAUCUUAUGUUAAAAUCAUCGUUUUGUUUCUCUCUCAUACAUAUAGGUAUGUAUAGAGACCCUAUAUAUCUACAUGCAAUACAAUACAUACUACAUACAUACAUACUACAUACAUUUAUCAAAAGCCAGCCGCUGGUUAUGAAGUAAGUGGAAAAUGCAUUUAAACAAAGCUAAAUACAACAAAAAAACAAUUCGACAACGCACAAUUGCCAAAAUGCACACACACAAACACACACACACACAUGUACACUUAGAAACAGAUCAACACACACACACACACAGAAACAAACUACUGUUAAGGGCCAAAGUUAGAUGCAGAAAAAAAGAAAACAAUUUUACACAUAAAUUCAGCAACAAUUUGAAAAUAAAUAAAAAAUAAAAACUAAAUCAGCAUUCUAAAAUGGUAUGAACUGAAGUAUGAAAAGGGAUAAUGAAAACAAAUGAAAAAAUGUAUAAAAAAAAAAAGAAAAAUAAAAAAAAAAUUGCAAGAAUGAAUGAAGUUGAGAACGCGACAUGAAAGAGAAGAGAAAACCCAUUGUGAUACAGUUACAAAAUAAUAACAAAACGAGGAAUGUGUAGAAAUACGUAGAUACAUACGUUAAAUGUUAACAUUGCUCGUAACACAAUAUAACAUAAGUACAUACAUACAUAUGUAUGCAUGUGUGAACACAGACACACACAUAUACAUAUAUAUAUAUAUAUAUAUUUGUAUCGGCAAUGACAUUUGACGAUGACACUUGACGACGAUAAUCGAUAUACAACAAGAGUUAAUUAUUAUUGUCAUGAUUGUAUUUCGCCAACAACAAAAAG